AUUUGGCAGAUGGCUUCUCUCCCGAAAAGUGGUUAGACUGCCCUGGACCCAAACAACUUAGAGACCUCACAUUUGUGCGUUGUAAGAGUGGUGCAUGGGGAUUGUCUGAUGAACUGAACCUAUGCUGAAAAAACUGUCCUGUACGCUGCAAUAGAAAG